rnacentral:rRNA from 1 species
AUUGAACGCUGGCGGCAGGCUUAACACAUGCAGUCGAGCGGGGUGAUGGUGCUUGCACUAUCACUUAGCGGCGGACGGGUGAGUAAUGCUUAGGAAUCUGCCUAUUAGUGGGGGACAACAUCUCGAAAGGGAUGCUAAUACCGCAUACGUCCUACGGGAGAAAGCAGGGGAUCACUUGUGACCUUGCGCUAAUAGAUGAGCCUAAGUCGGAUUAGCUAGUUGGUGGGGUAAAGGCCUACCAAGGCGACGAUCUGUAGCGGGUCUGAGAGGAUGAUCCGCCAAACUGGGACUGAGACACGGCCCAGACUCCUACGGGAGGCAGCAGUGGGGAAUAUUGGACAAUGGGGGGAACCCUGAUCCAGCCAUGCCGCGUGUGUGGAGAAGGCCUUAUGGUUGUAAAGCACUUUAAGCGAGGAGGAGGCUCUUUUGGUUAAUACCCAAGAUGAGUGGACGUUACUCGCAGAAUAAGCACCGGCUAACUCUGUGCCAGCCGCCGCAGUAA